rnacentral:rRNA from 1 species
UACGUAGGUGGCAAGCGUUGUCCGGAAUUAUUGGGCGUAAAGCGCGCGCAGGCGGUCCCUUAAGUCUGAUGUGAAAGCCCACGGCUCAACCGUGGAGGGUCGUUGGAAACUGGGGGACUUGAGUGCAGAAGAGGAAAGUGGAAUUCCAUGUGUAGCGGUGAAAUGCGUAGAGAUGUGGCGGAACACCAGUGGCGAAGGCGACUUUCUGGUCUGUAACUGACGCUGAGGCGCGAAAGCGUGGGGAGCAAACAGG